GAUUUAAAUUAUUUAUUUUUUAUUUUUAAUUUUUGAUUUUUAAGAAAAAUAUUUUUAUUUUUAUUAUUAUUUAAGAAAAAAUAUUAUUUAAUUAUAGAUAAAUAGUAUUGUGAAAGAAUAUUUUAAAAUAAUUUAAAGAAAAAUUAAAGUUUUGUACCUUGUGUAUCAGGGUUGAUUAAAUUUGAAUUUUAUAUAAAAUAUUCUCGAAUUCAAAAGAGCUAAUUAGUUAUUUAUUUUAUUGUUUAAUAAAUAUUUAUAAUAAUUAAUUAGUAAUGAAACGUUAUUCGUUUUUGAAUAUAUCUAGUUUUUAAAGAAAUUAAUUAAAUUUAUUUUUUAAUAAUUAAAAUUUUAUUUUAUUAGUUUUUUAUUAUUAAAAUUAAAUUAUUUUGGGGAUAAGCUUGGAAUAAGAAUAUUUAUAAUAAAUUAAAAAUUUAAAUAAUUUAUAAGAUUAAAAUUUUCUAUAGAUAACAAAUUGUUAUAAAUGAUUAUUUUUAGAUAUUAUUUUUAUUUUAUUUAAAUAUUUUAUUUAAUUUUAAUAUUUAAUUUUUUAAUAUUAGUAAUUAUGAUUAAAUUAGUAUAAUUAUUCUGUUUAGUUAAAUUAAUAGUUUAAGGUUAAUUUAAGUAACUCGGCAAAAUUAUUUUUCACCUGUUUAUUAAAAACAUGUCCUUUUGAUAUUAAUUUAAGGUCUAAUCUGCCCACUGAGGAGUUGAAUGGCCGCGGUAUUUUGACCGUGCAAAGGUAGCAUAAUCAUUAGUUUCUUAAUUAGAAGCUGGUAUGAACGAUUGGAUGAGAAAAUAACUGUCUCAAUUUAAUUUAUUUAUAAUUUUAUUUUUAAGUUAAAAAGCUUAAAUAAUUUUAAAAGACGAGAAGACCCUAUAGAGUUUUAUUUAAUUUAUUAUUAAUUAAAAUUAGUUUUUAUAUUAGUUAAUAUUAAGUUAAAUUUUGUUGGGGUGACAGAAAAAUUUAUUUAACUUUUUUUAUUUUUUU
rnacentral:rRNA from 1 species